AAUACUCCUACUUAAGGCCUAGUUGCAACCACUUCGUUAUCCAGUGCACAUUUACAAAUUGAGGAGAAAGAACAAUAGCUGUGUAAGAUGAACCAACUUUAUAGUUUCGUUUUACUUCUGGCAAUGUCGGCUUCCACUUCAGCUACGAGUUGUUUUCUCGGUAAUUUUGGUUGUGCCGUUCAUUGCCUCUUUCGAGCAUAUUGGUAUGGUGGGCAAUGCUCUGGAGAGCUUUGCUAUUGCAAUUCAUAAUCGCGUAACAAUCCUAUGCUUUUGUUAAUUUAUGAUGGAUGUAAAAAUUAUCAUCAAAUAAAGGUAAAAAUAAAGAGACA